UAGUCGCUAGUUCAGAGGCCAAGAACGCCGCUCUGCAAAAGCGGAAACGCGGGUUCGAAUCCCGCCGACUAUCCA
rnacentral:tRNA from 1 species